rnacentral:rRNA from 1 species
AGCAGUAGCCACGGUAAUACGUAGGUCCCGAGCGUUGUCCGGAUUUAUUGGGCGUAAAGCGAGCGCAGGCGGUUAGAUAAGUCUGAAGUUAAAGGCUGUGGCUUAACCAUAGUACGCUUUGGAAACUGUUUAACUUGAGUGCAAGAGGGGAGAGUGGAAUUCCAUGUGUAGCGGUGAAAUGCGUAGAUAUAUGGAGGAACACCGGUGGCGAAAGCGGCUCUCUGGCUUGUAACUGACGCUGAGGCUCGAAAGCGUGGGGAGCAAACAGGAUUAGAUACCCCGGUAGUCCCUGUCUCUUAUACA